rnacentral:tRNA from 1 species
GCCUCGGUAGUGUAGUGGAUCAGCACGGCAGACCGGAUAUCUGUAAGUGCGGGUACGAGUCCCGCCGGAGGCU